rnacentral:rRNA from 1 species
AGAGUUUGAUCCUGGCUCAGGACGAACGCUGGCGGCGUGCCUAACACAUGCAAGUCGAACGGAGCAAAGCCCUUCGGGACUUUACUUAGUGGCGAACGGGUGAGUAACGCGUGAGGAACCUGCCUUCCAGUGGGGGACAACAGUUGGAAACGACUGCUAAUACCGCAUGGUGCUUUUGGGGGACAUCCCCUGAAAGUCAAAGCUUUAUGUGCUGGAAGAUGGCCUCGCGUCUGAUUAGCUAGUUGGUGAGGUAACGGCCCACCAAGGCGACGAUCAGUAGCCGGUCUGAGAGGAUGAACGGCCACAUUGGGACUGAGAUACGGCCCAGACUCCUACGGGAGGCAGCAGUGGGGAAUAUUGGGCAAUGGGCGAAAGCCUGACCCAGCAACGCCGCGUGAAGGAAGAAGGCCUUCGGGUUGUAAACUUCUUUUACCAGGGACGAAGGACGUGACGGUACCUGGAGAAAAAGCAACGGCUAACUACGUGCCUGCAGCCGCGGUAAUACGUAGGUUGCAAGCGUUGUCCGGAUUUACUGGGUGUAAAGGGCGUGUAGGCGGAGAUGCAAGUUAGGAGUGAAAUCUAUGGGCUCAACCCAUAAACUGCUUCUAAAACUGUAUCCCUUGAGUAUCGGAGAGGCAAGCGGAAUUCCUAGUGUAGCGGUGAAAUGCGUAGAUAUUAGGAGGAACACCAGUGGCGAAGGCGGCUUGCUGGACGACAACUGACGCUGAGGCGCGAAAGCGUGGGGAGCAAACAGGAUUAGAUACCCUGGUAGUCCACGCUGUAAACGAUGAAUACUAGGUGUGGGAGGACUGACCCCUUCCGUGCCGCAGUUAACACAAUAAGUAUUCCACCUGGGGAGUACGACCGCAAGGUUGAAACUCAAAGGAAUUGACGGGGGCCCGCACAAGCAGUGGAUUAUGUGGUUUAAUUCGAUGAUACGCGAGGAACCUUACCCGGGCUUGAAUUGCAGAGGAAGGAUUUGGAGACAAUGACGCCCUUCGGGGUCUCUGUGAAGGUGCUGCAUGGUUGUCGUCAGCUCGUGCCGUGAGGUGUCGGCUUAAGUGCCAUAACGAGCGCAACCCCUCUCCUUAGUUGCCAUCAGGUUAAGCUGGGCACUCUGGGGACACUGCCACCGUAAGGUGUGAGGAAGGUGGGGAUGACGUCAAAUCAGCACGGCCCUUACGUCCGGGGCUACACACGUGUUACAAUGGCAGGUACAGGGAGACGGUUGUACGUAAGUACGAUCAAAUCCUUAAAGCCUGUCUCAGUUCGGACUGGGGUCUGCAACCCGACCCCACGAAGCUGGAUUCGCUAGUAAUCGCGCAUCAGCCAUGGCGCGGUGAAUACGUUCCCGGGCCUUGUACACACCGCCCGUCAAGCCAUGAAAGCCGGGGACGCCGAAAGUCCGUGACCGUAAGGAGCGGCCUAGGGCGAAACUGGUAAUUGGGGCUAAGUCGUAACAAGUA